AUGCGCCCUCAGCCGUUGGAUCCUCGUGCUCGGGCCCCGUUACCUGACGGUGUGAGGCUCCGAGCCUCCGACGACUCCCGCGCCGUCCGCCGCGCCCGCCUGCCUUCUCCCCGGCCGGCAUCGAACGCCUCCAGCAGUCCCCUCGCCCGCCACACGCCACCUCCAGAGCCCGUGCGGCUCGGUGGCAACGCCACCACUGGCCGCCGCCUGCCCGCCGACGCCGCGCGAGCCUCGCCUAGAUUUCCUCCGUCCGGAUCUGCAGCCUGCGGCUCGCUGGAUUUGCUCUCGUCCGCUGCCUCCUCCGCGGCGGCCCCAGCAAAAAUUCGAUGGGCAGGCCAACCCUCACUUCGACGGCGUGGAAGACGAGUGAGUGAGCAGUAG
rnacentral:rRNA from 1 species